rnacentral:rRNA from 1 species
GACAGAGGGUGCAAACGUUGUUCGGAAUUACUGGGCGUAAAGCGCGUGUAGGCAGCUUGGCAAGUCGGGUGUGAAAGCCCUGGGCUCAACCUAGGAAGUGCACUCGAAACUGCUUCGCUUGAGUAUCGGAGAGGAAAGCGGAAUUCUCGGUGUAGAGGUGAAAGUCGUAGAUAUCGAGAGGAACACCAGUGGCGAAGGCGGCUUUCUGGACGAUCACUGACGCUGAGACGCGAAAGCGUGGGGAGCAAACAGG